rnacentral:rRNA from 1 species
CCUACGGGAGGCAGCAGUAGGGAAUAUUGGGCAAUGGGCGAAAGCCUGACCCAGCCACGCCGCGUGCAGGAAGACGGCCCUCUGGGUUGUAAACUGCUUUUAACUGGGAAGAAAAGAGGCCUUGCGAGGCAAGUUGACGGUACCAGUUGAAUAAGCCACGGCUAACUACGUGCCAGCAGCCGCGGUAAUACGUAGGUGGCGAGCGUUAUCCGGAUUUAUUGGGUUUAAAGGGAGCGUAGGCGGCUGAUUAAGUCAGCGGUGAAAGGUAGCAGCUUAACUGUUUUACAUGCCGUUGAUACUGGUUAGCUUGAGUUGACAGAAGGCAGAUAGAAUUCCUGAUGUAGCGGUGAAAUGCUUAGAUAUCAGGAGGAAUACCGAUUGCGAAGGCAGUCUGCUGCAGUCACACUGACGCUGAGGCUCGAAGGUGCGGGGAUCAAACAGGAUUAGAUACCCUGGUAGUCCGCACAGUAAACGAUGAUUACUAGAUGUUGGCCAAGCCAGUGUCCAAGGGAAACCGAUAAGUAAUCCACCUGGGGAGUACGCCGGCAACGGUGAAACUCAAAUGAAUUGACGG